GACUCUGUAGUGAAAUUCAUGUUGAGUUGCAAGCUCAUUGAUGUAUGCUAAUCGUGUACCGGAGUCUGG
rnacentral:tRNA from 1 species